rnacentral:rRNA from 1 species
GACGAACGCUGGCGGCGUGCUUAACACAUGCAAGUCGAACGGAAAGGCCCUGCUUUUGUGGGGUGCUCGAGUGGCGAACGGGUGAGUAACACGUGAGUAACCUGCCCUUGACUUUGGGAUAACUUCAGGAAACUGGGGCUAAUACCGGAUAGGAGCUCCUGCUGCAUGGUGGGGGUUGGAAAGUUUCGGCGGUUGGGGAUGGACUCGCGGCUUAUCAGCUUGUUGGUGGGGUAGUGGCUUACCAAGGCUUUGACGGGUAGCCGGCCUGAGAGGGUGAACGGCCUCAUUGGGACUGCGAGACGGCCCAGACUCCUACGGGAGGCAGCAGUGGGGAAUAUUGCACAAUGGGCGGAAGCCUGUGGCAGCAACCCCGCGUGCGGGAUGACGGCCUUCGGGUUGUAAACCGCUUUCGCCUGUGACGAAGCGUGAGUGACGGUAAUGGGUAAAGAAGCACCGGCUAACUACGUG